rnacentral:rRNA from 1 species
AUACGGAGGGUGCAAGCGUUAAUCGGAAUUACUGGGCGUAAAGCGCGCGUAGGCGGUUUUGUAAGUCGGAUGUGAAAGCCCAGGGCUCAACCUUGGAAUUGCAUUCGAAACUGCAUGACUAGAGUAUGGUAGAGGGAAGUGGAAUUCCAGGUGUAGCGGUGAAAUGCGUAGAUAUCUGGAGGAACAUCAGUGGCGAAGGCGACUUCCUGGACCAAUACUGACGCUGAGGUGCGAAAGCGUGGGGAGCAAACAGGAUUAGAUACCCUAGUAGUCC